CACAUGGUCAGGAAAAAGUGAGUGAACGGAUGUGGCCCCCAGAACCCCUCCCUGAAAUUGCAGUUGAUUUUUAUUCCCCACCUCAAGCCCACAUAUCCAAAGCUUCCUCUGAACGCUCCUUGCAGUGCACAAGAUAGAAAUGAUUGACAGGCACGGAGCCGCGGCGGGCCCCAUGCUGGACACCAGCAUCUGGCACCGUGGGUCACCAAGCACCAACCUGAUCUCCUCAGAGCCAGGUGUGUGUUGGGAUUCAGGAUUUUUCCGUUUCAAAGGUAGUAUGAUCUCUACUCCACAGGGCACACGGCACCCUCAGUGCUCAGCACAGCAGUGGGCAGCAGCCUGGUGAGCUUUUCUGCAGGGAAGUGUGUGAACGUUCACACCGAGCGGGGUCAGUCACGUCUGUGAGUCAUCUCCCACCAACACAGGUCAGGUUUUCCCGCCCAAUGAGCUUGGGGAUGGCUUCACUUCGAAGCUCUUUGGAUCUGUGGAUUCUGGAAUUUUGGAUUUGUGAUACCCAUUUGAUCAAAGAGUCAACCAAGGUCUAAUGGGUCAAGUGACUUUCCACAUCCGUGAAGGUCGUGAGAAGCAGGACCAGGAUGGUGGCCCAGCAGUGUCUUCAAGGAUAAGCUGGGCCCUUCACCGUGCAGGCCCCUCUCCGUCGGUCCACUCUGCCACUGCUAUCUGCCACACCCUGCCCUGAUAUCUCCUCUCUGCCAGGUUUUUCCCUCACGUCCUCAACUCAGCCAAGAGCUGGUUUCUUCCAGAAAGAGCCCUGCUGUCAGGUGAUUUAUUGGACUUCUCUUUUUUUGGAUGUUUGUUUUCAGGGUUUAGCUGAUCAAAAUGGUAUCAUUGUAACAGGCAGCUCUCAAUAUAAGUCUUCAGAGGCC